AUUGAACGCUGGCGGCAGGCCUAACACAUGCAAGUCGAGCGGAGCGGCGGACGGGUGAGUAAUGCCUAGGAAUCUGCCUGGUAGUGGGGGAUCACGUCCGGAAACGGGCGCUAAUACCGCAUACUAUCAGAUGAGCCUAGGCCGGAUUAGCGAGAUGGAGGGGUAAGGGCCUACAAGGUCGACGAUCCGUAACUGGUCUGAGCGGAGGAUCAGUCCCACUGGAACUGAGACACGGUCCAGACUCCUACGGGAGGCAGCAGUGGGGAAUAUUGGACAAUGGGCGAAAGCCUGAUCCAGCCAUGCCGCGUGUGUGAAGAAGGUCUUCGGAUUGUAAAGCACUUUAAGUUGGGAGGCGUUACCAACAGAAUAAGCACCGGCUAACUUCGUGCCAGCCGCCGCGGUAAUAC
rnacentral:rRNA from 1 species